GUAACCAACUGUGAUUGGUGCUGUGUAAGCUGGCUGCUUAGCUCUGUGAGACGCUCCCGGCUGCCUCUGCUGCCUCUCCCUGCACUGUUGCAACAUGAGUAGGCAGACAGGCGAAGAAGCUGCUGAACUGUACAAGAGCAGCCGGGGCGGGGAGAUUGUGGAGCCUGGGAGAAGGCUCAAGGAAUCCUGACUUUCUAGGACUAUGCAAGAGCUAGACCCCUUCUAGAGCAAAGGACCUAGCGUUCUAUAGCCUACAGGGCGGUAUCGCCAACUGCUGCCCUUCUCUGCUGUCAAAUGAGAGACAUACAAAGACUAGUGCUUGACGAGUUUCUCUUUUACGCCUGUGACUUCUUUCCAGAUGGAGGGAAAGGUCUUGGGCUGCUGAGCUAGGCUGGCUUGGAUUUGUUCUGCAGCUGAAGAUGACCUUUAAUUCCUGAUUAUCCUGACCCCCACCUCCGGAGUGCUGGAGUCACAGACCUUGGGUUUCCUGCAUUUUAGGUAAGUAUUCUCCCAAUGAGGCUGGGGUGGGGGAUGGAGUGUGUGUGUGGGUCAUCUGUCUACCUCUUUUUGCUCAUUUGGUUCAUAUUUCUCCUGGAUGGAAUUUCCUGAGACUCUAAGAGCCUUGUGGGAGCGCUUGCUCCUGCUGUCCUCUCCCACCUCACCUUUCCUGGGACACAUGGCUCUGUUAGAAAUCAUAGUUAGGGAUGUAUUCUUCCCUGAAUAUAGUCCAGAUUUAAUAGAUUAAGUCCACAGUAAAAAUGUGUUGAGAGACUGAGUGAAUAUUCUGUGUUCUAACCCAGUGAUUCUACCCUUUAUUCUUUCUAACCCUGCUCAAAGGCUCCAGAUUUUAUUUAACUGGAUAAAGAAUUGGUUGUGGGACAGGUGCUUGUCAUCUAAUUAUGAAGGCCUCUGUUGCCUGGUCCAUAAAGUCCUCUCUCCUGGUUAAGGUCAAGUGGCAUCUGCUAAGAGUAUGUGUAAUAAGGGGCCCAUGGAGUUCAUGACUAUGAGCCUGGGGCUGACCAUGUGUGAGAACCACAGUCCUCUUCUGUCUGAUGCUGGUCCCAUAAUUCCCUUGCCUCCUUCCAUUCCAUCCAGACCCACCUUCUUCCCCUCCCACCUGCCAGGCCCCUACAGGGGUUGCCCAGGCUGGAGUUCCUGGAAAUAGCUAGACAGAGCUCCACAAAAUGUUUUUUUCUGUUUCAGCGAGCCUGCCUAAAGUGUUCCUCUUUCAGCAAGGUCACAUCAAUUUGCUAAGAGACUAGUGGGGUCACAUGGGUGUGAUAUAGUGAAUAAAACCUGGGAAAACAGAUCAGGUAUUAAUUAAUAUAGAUGUUCAUUAGCUAGGAAUAUUUCUCAAGUCACAUUUGUGAGGGACUAAAAUAGUCAGAAUGUUCUCCAUGAGAAAACAUGUGGACUCCUUCUGCCACCAUAUUCUUUCUCUGUGGGCCAGUGUCAUUCUCCUUAGACCCUUAGAUGAGGUAAGGGCUGUUGUCCUACAGAAAGGCUGUGAGCCCAGGAGCUCCUGGGGUCAGGGUUGUGUCCAUACUGUAGCCUAAUGGGCAUGAGGAGGAGAUAUUUGGAGUCUCCCCCAUUUCCUGAACCUGGUUGAGUGUCCAACAGCAACUCCCUCUCCUGGUACUGCAUGAUCUGAGUGAGGAUGGAGGGAAAGCACGAAGUGGAACUCCAGUCGAGAAGUGUGACAAGUGACUGCUACCAGCCCUCUGCUGACCUAAAACCUUUAUAUCCUUCAGGACCCAAGCACAGGGAGGGAAUGUGUAUAUUCGUGAAGGAAAGGAAAGCAGCCGGCUCCAGAGGGAUAAGCUUACUAUUCUCAGCACUCUGGUGCUAGAAGAAAAGGGGCUUGGAGAAACAGAGAAGCCCUCCAUGUGCUUGGUAGCUCUAGGAUGCCAGACUGAUGGCCCAACCACGCUGCAUCCAUGGCCUGCCCCAUGCCCUACACUGUGGUGGGUAAACGUGGGUAGUCCCUAUCUUCAAAACUGCCUGAAGUGGAGGGGCAUAGACCUCUG
rnacentral:sRNA from 1 species